rnacentral:misc_RNA from 1 species
GAUGAAGAACGCAGCGAAAUGCGAUAAGUAAUGUGAAUUGCAGAAUUCAGUGAAUCAUCGAAUCUUUGAACGCACAUUGCGCCCCUUGGUAUUCCGAGGGGCAUGCCUGUUCGAGCGUCAUUAUAACCCCUCAAGCUCAGCUUGGUGUUGGGGCCUGCCGCACGGGCAGCCCUUAAAAUCAGUGGCGGUGCCAUCUGGCUCUAAGCGUAGUAAUUCUUCUCGCUAUAGAGUCACGGUGGAUGCUUGCCAUUAACCCCCAAUUUUCAAUGGUUGACCUCGGAUCAGGUAGGGAUACCCGCUGAACUUAAGCAUAUCAAUAAGCGGAGGA